GUCUCUAUGGAGUCUCCAUGGAGUCUCUAUGGGGCUGGGGGUCUCUAUGGGGUCUCCGUGAGGCUGGGGGUCUCUAUGGGGUUUCCAUGUGGUCUCUAUGGGGCUGAGAGGUCUCUAUGGGGUCUCUAUGGGUCUCCAUGGGGCUGAGGGGUCCCUAUGGGGUCUCUAUGGGGUCUCAAUGGGGUCUCUGUGAGGCUGGGAGUCUCUAUGGGGUCUCUAUUGGGUGUCUGUGGGGCUGGGAGUUUCCAUGGGGUCUCUAUGGGGUCUGUAAGUGGUUUGGGGUCUCUGUGGGAUAUCUAUGGGGUUUUUAUGGGGUCUCUAUGGGGUUUGGAGUCUCUACGGGGUCUCUAUGGGGUAUGGGGUCUCUAUGGGGUUUGAGGUCUCUAUUGGGGCUCUAUGGGGUCUCCAUGGGGCUGUGAGGUCUCUGUGGGGUCUCCAUGGGGUCACUAUGAGGUCUCUGUGAGGCUGGGGGUCUCUAUGGGGUCUCUAUGGGAGUCUAUGGGGUCUCCAUGGGUCUGAGAGGUCUCCAUGGGGUCUCUAUGGGGUCUCCAUGGGGCUGAGAGGUCUCUAUGGGGUCUCCAUGGGGUCUCUGUGAGACUGGGGGUCUCUAUGGGGUCUCUAUGGGUUUCCACGGGGCUGAGAGGUCUCUGUGGGGUCCCUAUGGGGCUGGGGGUCUCUAUGGGGUCUCCAUGGGGCUGAGAGGUCUCCAUGGGGUCUUUGUGAGGCUGGGGGUCUCUAUGGGGUCUCUAUGGGGAGUCUAUGGGGUCUCCAUGGGGCUGAGAGGUCUCUGUGGGGUCUCUAUGGGGCUGGGGGUCUCCAUGGGGUCUCCAUGAGGUCUCCAUGAGGCUGAGAGAUCUCUAUGGGGUUUCCAUGGGUCUCUAUGGGGCUGAGGGGUCUCUAUUGGGUCCCUAUGGGGUCCCUAUGGGGCUGGGGGUCUCUAUGGGGUCUCCAUGGGGCUGAGAGGUCUCUAUGGGUUUCCAUGGGGCUGCGAGGUCUCUAUGGGGUCACUAUGGGUCUCUAUGGGGUCUGUAUGGGGUCUCUGUGAGGUCUCUGUGAGGCUGGGGGUCUCUAUGGGGUCUCUAUGGGAUCUCCAUGGGGCUGAGAGGUCUCUAUGGGGUCUUUGUGAGGCUGGGGGUCUCUAUAGGGUCUCUAUGCGAGUCUAUGGGGUCUCCAUGGGGCUGAGAGGUCUCAUUGGGGUCUCUGUGGGGUCUCUAUGGGGUUUGGGGUCUCUAUGGGGUCUCUAUGGGGUCUCUAUGGGGCUGGGGGUCUCUAUGGGUCACUAUGGGGUCUGUAUGGGUCUGCGUGGGUCUCUAUGGGGUCUCUGUGAGGCUGGGGGUCUGCGUGGGGUCUCUAUUGGGUGUCUGUGGGGCUGGGAGUCUCCAUGGGGUCUCUAUGGGGUCUUUGAGUGGUUUGGGGUCUCUGUGGGAUAUCUAUGGGGUCUCUCCGGGGUCUCUAUGGGGUUUGGGGUCUCUAUGGGGUCUCUAUUGGGUCUCCAUGGGGCUGAGAGGUCUCUAUGGGGUUUCAGUGGGGUCUCUGUGAGGCUGGGGGUCUCUAUGGGGUCUCUAUGGGUUCUCCAUGGGGCUGAGAGGUCUCUACGGGGUCUCUAUGGGGUCUCUAUGGGGU
ensembl:lncRNA